AUAACAUUCGGACUGCUGGUCUACAGAACAAUAAAACCCCUUCGGUGGAGGAUCUUCUCUUUGUCGU
rnacentral:pre_miRNA from 1 species